rnacentral:snRNA from 16 species
GCCAGCGGGCAACCGCUGGCCUAUGGUCCAACUGAAAAUAUACAGAGAAGAUGUAAGUGUUUACCCCCAAAUUCUAGCGUUCGAGCACUCACUAACAGUUCCAUAGUAGCAUGGCCCCUGCACUAAGGAUGACACAUGUAAUCAAAGAGACGCAAACCAUUUUU